GCCAGCAGCCGCGGUAAUACGUAGGGUGCAAGCGUUGUCCGGAUUUAUUGGGCGUAAAGAGCUCGUAGGCGGUUAGUCGCGUCGGAUGUGAAAACUCAGUGCUUAACACUGGGCCUGCAUUCGAUACGGGCUGACUAGAGUGUUGUAGGGGAGACUGGAACUCCUGGUGUAGCGGUGAAAUGCGCAGAUAUCAGGAAGAACACCGGUGGCGAAGGCGGGUCUCUGGGCAAUUACUGACGCUGAGGAGCGAAAGCGUGGGGAGCAAACAGGAUUAGAUACCCUGGUAGUCCACGCCGUAAACGGUGGGCGCUAGGUGUGGGGAACAUUCCACGUUCUCCGUGCCGCAGCUAACGCAUUAAGCGCCCCGCCUGGGGAGUACGGCCGCAAGGCUAAAACUCAAAUGAAUUGACGGGG
rnacentral:rRNA from 1 species